AAUUACCCACUCCCGGCACGGGGAGGUAGUGACGAAAAAUAACGAUACGGGACUCAUCCGAGGCCCCGUAAUCGGAAUGAGAACACUUUAAAUCCUUUAUCGAGGAUCCAUUGGAGGGCAAGUCUGGUGCCAGCAGCCGCGGUAAUUCCAGCUCCAAUAGCGUAUAUUAAAGUUGUUGCGGUUAAAAAGCUCGUAGUUGAAUCUGUGUGUUACGCUGUCGGUUCACCGCUCGCGGUGUUUAACUGAUGUGCUCGUAGCACGUCCUACCGGUGGACUUAGCUUUUGGCUCUUCGUGGGUCGAGGCGGUCCUAUUUUAAUCCCAUCGCGGUGCUCUUUACCGAGUGUCGAGGUGGGCCGGUACGUUUACUUUGAACAAAUUAGAGUGCUUAAAGCAGGCUAUUUCGCCUGAAUAUUGUGUGCAUGGAAUAAUGGAAUAGGACCUCGGUUCUAUUUUGUUGGUUUUCGGAACUCCGAGGUAAUGAUUAAUAGGGACAGAUGGGGGCAUUCGUAUUGCGACGUUAGAGGUGAAAUUCUUGGAUCGUCGCAAGACGAACAGAAGCGAA
rnacentral:rRNA from 1 species